UUACUGGUUAGGGACUGGUCAUAAUUUAUCAGGGGGGUGGGGAGGUGUAAUUCAAAAUUUUAAGGAAUGAUAUUUUGUGACGCUGCUUUGCCAUAACCCGGAAAAAUAAUGCCCCCCCCCCUCUCUCUCUUGCUCGUGUCAGUAAAAAUGUACCUAUACCUACUACUAAACCCUGCAUUCAAUAAAUUUUCUAAUUGCACUUUAAAUUUUCUAAUUUUCUAGUUGCGCUUUAAAUCAAAUACUAAA